GCUCGUAGUCUGACCGUUGUCCUGGCAUUGAGCGUCCGUGGUUACUGAUCAUGUGUACGCGAGGUGCUGGACACUACCUUCGGAGGAGCGUUCGUGCUUUUAACUAAGUGCGGGCGGGAUUCCGAUAGUUUACUUUGAGAAAAAUAGAGUGUUCAAAGCAGGCGUUUGCCUUGAAUACAUUAGCAUGGGAUAAUGAAAUAGGACGUUGGUUCUAUUUUGAUGGUUUACGGACCGACGUAAUGAUUAAUAAGGACAGUUGGGGACAUUUAUAUUCCAUGGCUAGAGGUGAAAUUCUUGGAUUCAUGGAAGAUAAACUACUGCGAAAGCAUUUGUCAAAGAUGUUUUCAUUGAUCAAGAACGAAAGUUAGGGGAGCAAAGACGAUCAGAUACCGUCGUAGUCUUAACCAUAAACGAUGCCGACUAGGGAUCGGUGGGCGUUAGUUUGAUGACUCCAUCGGCACCUCAUGGGAAACCAAAGUCUUUGGGUUCCGGGGGGAGUAUGGUCGCAAGGCUGAAACUUAAAGGAAUUGACGGAAGGGCACCACCAGGAGUGGAGCCUGCGGCUUAAUUUGACUCAACACGGUAAAACUCACCAGGUCCAUACUUGGUAAGGAUUGACAGAUUGAGAGCUCUUUCUUGAUUCCAUGAAAGGCGGCGCAUGGCCGUUCCUUAGUUGGUGGAGUGAUUUGUCUGGU
rnacentral:rRNA from 1 species